rnacentral:rRNA from 1 species
CGCCUUAUACUCCUACGGGAGGCAGCAGUGGGGAAUAUUGGACAAUGGGCGAAAGCCUGACGCAGCGACGCCGCGUGGGGGAUGACGGCCUUCGGGUUGUAAACCUCUUUCAGCAGGGACGAAGCGAAAGUGACGGUACCUGCAGAAGGAGCACCGGCCAACUACGUGCCAGCAGCCGCGGUAAUACGUAGGGUGCAAGCGUUGUCCGGAAUUAUUGGGCGUAAAGAGCUCGUAGGCGGUUUGUUGCGUCGGCUGUGAAAACCUGAGGCUCAACCUCAGGCCUGCAGUCGAUACGAGCAGACUAGAGUGUUGUAGGGGAGACUGGAAUUCCUGGUGUAGCGGUGAAAUGCGCAGAUAUCAGGAGGAACACCGGUGGCGAAGGCGGGUCUCUGGGCAACAACUGACGCUGAGGAGCGAAAGCGUGGGGAGCGAACAGGAUUAGAUACCCCUGUAGUCCACGUACCA